GCGGCCUAUCAGCUUGUUGGUGGGGUAGUGGCUUACCAAGGCUUUGACGGGUAGCCGGCCUGAGAGGGUGACCGGCCACAUUGGGACUGAGAUACGGCCCAGACUCCUACAGGAGGCAGCAGUGGGGAAUAUUGCACAAUGGGCGGAAGCCUGAUGCAGCAACGCCGCGUGCGGGAUGACGGCCUUCGGGUUGUAAACCGCUUUCGCCUGUGACGAAUCUUUUGUGACGGUAAUGGGUAAAGAAGCACCGGCUAACUACGUGCCAGCAGCCGCGGUGAUACGUAGGGUGCGAGCGUUGUCCGGAUUUAUUGGGC
rnacentral:rRNA from 1 species